GUAGGCAACUCUAAUGGCGGGGAUUUUUCUUCUCUGAGUGAUAUGGGAAGCCAUGAGCUACCUUGAAACAGAGGAGUGACAUGAUUGGCUUAUAUUGAAAAAAUAUCACUUUGGCUUGUCUGUUAAAAUCUGUGGGCAAAGUUGUAAGUAUAAAAUUAGAAGGUUAUUGCAAUAAUCAAAUAAGUGAUUAAUUAUUGUUAGUAAAAGUGGGAGAAGUGUCAGGAUUCUGGAUAUAUUUUUAAGGUAGGAGCCAAAGUUUUCCUGAAAAAUUAAUUGUCGAAUGUGAGAAAAGGCAAAUCCAGGGUGGAUUCCAAAGAUUGCAGCCUGAGUAAAUGGGAGGUGGAGUUGUCAUUUACUUAGAGAAGAAAUAUUUUGGAGUAUACAUUUUGGGAGGGAUAAGAGCAAGAAUUUAGUUUUAGUUAGGUGGAGUUGAAAUUUCCUUGGAUUAGGAUGAAACUGAGCCUGUAUCCACAAGGUUGAUGUGGGAAACCAAGUAACCAAAGUUUCUGAGCUUGUCUUGCAGAACAACAUGAGGACUGCUGAUGAAGAAAGUAGCUUGCUGACAGCUCCCCGCCUGCCUAAGCAUCGCGCAGGAGCACUGAGCAGCCACAAUGACCCAUUGAUGACAGUCCACCAUCUUCCAAUAUGGUAGCUUAUCGCUUAUUAAAGUUCUUUCUCUACCAUUGCCUGCUUGGCCUUUUGUCUUGUGGCGAACAGCUUAAGCCCUUCCUUGCUCGUUGUCUCUUUGAGGAAUGCUGGGAUUUGCCCCUGGAAUUUAUGGAAGACUGCAUGCAGGAAGCAGAAGGCCUAAGCCAUCUAUAAUCUUCUUACUUGAGAGUGGGAAAGAGCCAUGGAUGGAAGAGAGAAUGGUGACACGAGCCACAAGCUCAGGUCACUGCCACAGCAUGGCCGCCAACAAGUGGUAUAGGUCCGUGCCCAGGAACCAAAUCCAGGCUGCUGAAGUGGAGCACAGCGAAUUUAACUGCUAGGCCAUGUGGCCAGCCCCAAGUUUUCAAUUUUAAUUAAUUUAAAUAAUAGUGUUUUAUCCAUUCUAUUGUCUGUAACCGAAUUUUAUCAGUUGAUCCAAAAUGUUCUUUAUGGCUUUUCCCCCUUUAGUACAGUGUCAACUCUAGUGGCAGUUACUGCAUUUAAUUAUGGCACUUUAGUCUCCUUUAAUUUGGAACAUUUUGUCACUCUUUCCUGGCCUUUUAGGAAAUUAACAUUUUUGAGGAAUUUAUUCUCCUUUUGAGUAGAAUAUUCUUUAUUUUGGAUUAGUCUGAUGUUUCUUCAUGAUUAGAUUCAAGUUCUGCAUUCCCCGUUGGAAAUGCUCCAUGAGUAAUACUGGGUAUUUUAGGCAUCACUUCCAGAGGCACAGGAUGUCCAUCUGCCCCUUCUUGGUGAUAUUAAUUUUGAUCACCCAGAGUAUUGUCUGAUUUCUCUACAAAAUGGUUACUUUUUUUCUCCCUCUUACAAUUGACAAGCAAUCUGUGGGAAGACACUUUAAGGCCAUGCAAAUACUCUGGUUCUUGUAAAAUUUCCCCCCUAGAUUUGGCAUCCAUUGGUUAUUUUGUCCUGACUCAGUCUUUACUCUGAUGGUGUCAAAAGGCUGAUUUUCCAACUAUGUGGACUCUUUCCACAUUUGCUAUUCAGCUCUAGAGAUUCUACUCUAAGCAAGAGGCAAGAGUCCUUUUUUCUCAUUCAUUCAUUUUCAGUAUGGACUUAUUUGUUCGUUUGUUUUCAAUGGGAUAUAUAUAACUUCUCUAAUUAUUUUGAUAAUCAAAUUGUCUCAAAUUUUGCCAGUGGGAGUCUUUUCAAGCAGGCUUUGAUAUUCCUGUGACAUGCAUAUGGAUUUUGAAUCAUAAUUAAAGAGCCUUUUGCCACACGCAGGUUAUUGAGGAAUUCACUCUUAUUUAGUACUUGUACAAUUUCAU
ensembl:lncRNA